UACAGAGGUCCCGAGCGUUGUUCGGAUUCACUGGGCGUAAAGGGUGCGUAGGUGGCGAGGUAAGUCGGAUGUGAAAGCUCGGAGCUCAACUCCGAAAUGGCAUUGGAAACUACCUUGCUCGAGGGUUGGAGGGGGGACUGGAAUACUUGGUGUAGCAGUGAAAUGCGUAGAUAUCGAGAGGAACAUCAGUGGCGAAAGCGAAUCUCUGGGCAACAUCUGACGCUGAGGCACGAAAGCCAGGGGAGCAAACGGG
rnacentral:rRNA from 1 species